rfam:Cricetulus griseus cell line CHO-K1, whole genome shotgun sequence.
ACCAUAGGAAAUCACUUCCUGUAGUCCCAGCUACUCAGGAGGCUGAGACAGGAGGAUUGCUUGAGUCCAGGAGUUCUGGGCUGUAGUGCGCUAUGCCGAUCGUGUGUCCGCACUAAGUUCAGCAUCAAUAUGGCGACCUCCCCUGGGAGCGGGGUUGAGGGCACCAGAUUGCCUAAGGAGGGGUAAACGGGCCAGGUCGAAAACAGAGCAGGUCAAAACUCCCAUGCUGAUCAGGAAAUCGCUUCCAUGUCAUGUCCUUGCCCGCACCAUUGGGAGACCACUUUGUUCAG